rnacentral:rRNA from 1 species
UUGACUGUGCAAAGGUAGCAUAAUCGUUAGUUUUUUAAUUGAAAUCUUGAAUGAAUGGUUAGACAAAAGAAAAUCUGUCUCUCUGUUAAUUUUGAAUUUAACUUUUAAGUGAAAAGGCUUAAAUAAAUUAAAGGGACGAUAAGACCCUAUAAAGCUUGAUACAUGUGUUAAAUUAAUUGAAUUUUUUUAAAUAAAUUUUUUUUUAUUAGUGUCUAUUUUAUUGGGGUGAUAAAAGUAUAAUUAUUAGUAACUGCUUAAAUUUAAAAUCAUUAGUUAAUGAUUAAAAAGUGAAGGAUCCUAAAUCAAGAUUAAAAGUUUAAGUUACUUUAGGGAUAACAGCGUUAUUUUUUUUGAGAGUACAUAUCGAAAAAAAAGUUUGCGACCUCGAUGUUGAAUUAAAAUUUCUUUAUAGUAGCAGAAGUUAUAAAAGUUGGUCUGUUCGACCUUUAAAAUUUUA